GGCUAUCCCGGCUCACCUGACAAUUUUAUUACAAUCAUUUAAUAAAUUUGACUCAAUACAAACUAAGAGAAAGACUAAAGACGUCCUAAGUUGUGCCGAAAAUCUGGCAGAGUCUCCCCUAUACCUAGGACCUACCCAACCUGCAAAAGGGCUCAAAACACACUUCUAUAUUCACAACCCAUAUAUCCACAACUCAAUCACAUCACACAGCCCAUUUGUUUCUCCGAUGAAGGGAGUCAUAAGAUUUGGAAAGAAGGGCAAGUUGACACCUCGGUAUAUUGGACCUUUUGAGGUUACUGGUAGAGUUGGAGCAGUUGCCUACCAGUUGGAGCUACUACCUAACCUUUCUCAUGUUCAUCCUGUGUUUCACAUCUACAUGCUCAGGAAAUACAUUCUUGAUUCUUCUCAUGUGCUACAACCGGAUUUAAGGGAGCUAAAAGAAAACUUGACGUUUGAGGAGCAACCUAUAGUCAUAGUGGACUACCAAGUGAGUCAGCUAAAAUCAAAAUAGAUCCCUAUGGUAAAGGUUUUGUGGAGGAGCCAGUCAGUGGAAGAGUGCACCUGGGAGUCAGAACGGGACAUGCGUAGCAAGUACCCUUAUCUAUUCAAUGUGUAAUCCUGUACUUUAUUCUGCCUUGUGUAACAUUCGAGGACAAAUUUUCUGUAAGGGGGUAAGAAUGUAACAACUCUAAUUUUUUUAAAUUUAUUAUUUUUGGGUAAUUAUUGAUAUUUUAUUUUAUUGAAUUUUAGGAAAUUAUUUGAAAUUUUUCGGAUUUUAGAAAUCGGGUUCGAUUUUCUGAAAAUAAAAACUUUGAUGAUUUUUAAAAUUUAAUUUAAAUACUACGUGGCAAAACUAAAAAUAUAUUUAGAGUCUAUGAAUUUUUCUGAGUUUUCUAGAAUUUUUUUUAGAAUUUUUGAGCCUCGUUUUCGGUCUUAAGGCAGAGUAAAAAUUUAAAAUUUUGUAUUUUGAAUCCGACCGGCCGAAUCGAACCGGACUGGAUCUGAUCAGUCGAACCGGACUGGCUUCUUUUUUCUUUUUUUUUUGUUCUCCCCGCGCGUGUUCCGACCUCUCCUUCUCUCUCUCCCGUUUUCUCUCUCCUCCCUCCUCCCCUCUUCGGCUAGCCGCCACCCAGUCCUCCCCACCUCACCAGCGCGCCACCUCAGCCUCCCCCCAUUGCCUGCCGCCUCCUGGAACACCGGGAAACCGCGCGUGAAGCGCGCGACGCGUAGCGCGCCGCUUUGUCUUCCGGCUGAAAUCCGGCCUAUCCAGCCACCGAUUGGGCCAGGUCUUAUGUCAAACACCAUCUACACAUCGAGAGCUUUCCAUAGAUACCAAGAACACCAAAAUCCAUCGAGCGGUUUGUCCAAUUUUUGUCCGGAAAGUUUUAGCCCAUUUUGACUUUUGGGCUAGAUUUAUCGCAAACCGUGAACUCCACUAGAAAACCGAGAGUACCAGAGCGCUCCACUCGUCGAGAGCUUCGCGACAAUAUAAAUUUAGAAAUUUUCCGACACCUUUUUUCGGUGGGUCCCACAGAACUUCGUAGUAUUUUUUCGAGUAUUAAAUGAGUUUAGAAAAUUUCGUAAAAAUUUUAUACUAACCCCCGUAUUGUGGGCUUCGUGUCGGUACCUUCAAUUCGUAGAAAUUCGACAGUUGUCCGGGUCUGUGAAUUUCCGGCCAGACAGACCAGCUACUGAAAAAGUCUUGGAAUUGGAUCAGGAUUUUGGUUACCCCACUGUUGUCAGAUGCCCCAAGCGCGUUCCUGAGAUCGGAAUCGGCAUAGGUGAGCUGGGACAGCCUUCUUCCUCCACCCAGUCGCCACAAUGACUGCUGUCAAGUCUGCCACAGGAGGAUAUUUUUGAGGUUAACUUGCUUUUCUCCCACGCAGGUCGUUUAUUAAUGUUUGUGUAAACCUGUUAACUCUAGAAUUUUCGCAUGUGUUAGAAAUAAUUAU